UACGUAGGGUGCAAGCGUUGUUCGGAUUUACUGGGCGUAAAGGGCGCGUAGGCGGUCAGCACAAGUCAGUUGUGAAAUCUCCGGGCUUAACUCGGAAAGGUCAACUGAUACUGUGCGACUAGAGUGCGGAAGGGGCAACUGGAAUUCUCGGUGUAGCGGUGAAAUGCGUAGAUAUCGAGAGGAACACCUGCGGCGAAGGCGGGUUGCUGGGCCGACACUGACGCUGAGGCGCGAAAGCCAGGGGAGCGAACGGG
rnacentral:rRNA from 1 species